CAGUAUGAGUUUUCAUCUGAAUUCGUCCAAACUGUGUACGAUCCUGCUGCUCAUGGGUAUAUUAGGCUACUUGCUGCCUCUGACUAGGUUGUGUACGAGUGUCAUGGUAACGUCAAGGGCCGUGGAGCCCCGCCUUCAACACAGCGAGCAGUCAGUUCUCUCUGGGCGAGCAGACGUCAAUCUUCUACCCACCAAUCUUCUGCAGGAAAUGUAGCCAGACACACGGGUGAAGACGGAGGGCUUCUUGGAGUAGUUGCAGCCCAAGCUGGAGCCAAAACUCACAAUGCCGUGAACAUCCCAGGUGCCGUCACUUCUCUGGCAGUUCAGAGGGCCACCAGAAUCACCCUGCACCACUGGACACAACUCCAUCUCCUCCAGCGCACACCAUGAGGUUGGUCACGAGGCUGCCCCACCAGUCAGACCUAGUGCAGGUAGCGUAGUCCACAACAGGGAGCAGAGCCUGCUGCAGGAUAUCAGCAAUGGGACCAUUAGCUG